ACAUCUAUCACCGAUCUUUCAACAACUUAGAAAUUCUAGCAGGUGCACAAAACCCUAAUUUAAAAGCACCCAAAAACUAUUUUCCCUAUAUCUCAAAAAUCCAAAUUCUAAAUUCCACAAAACUUAUGUAGAAAGAUUUAUAAGAAGACUAUACACAAUUUUUAGAAAUAUUGAGCCAAAACCUCAUCAAAUUAUCUAAGAUAUAACUCAAAUCACAAGUACAAGUAAAUCAGACUACUAACUAUCCUUAGACUCCAAGUGCUGACUUCAACUACCAAUAUCUCCUUCAUCAAAGCUCGGAAUUUGACAAAUAGUAAACAUAAAUUGUAGCCGAAAAAGUGCUCUCUCGAAUUCUAGUUGCCGAUCUUCGUUUGCUAUCGGUAUGCAUGUGCAAUGCUCCAAAGAGUGACAACAGGUCCAAAAACUAACACCUUAACUUUGAGCACCCAUAACUUUUUUAUAAAACCCCCAAUGAUAUAAAACUUAUAUCAAAACCAUAGCCAAAAAUCUAGACCUUCUCAUCCUAGCCUUCAGAACUCAAAUGACCUCGAGAAACUAACCGUAAUCUCUAAUAUAGCCUCAGAAAGCCUCCUCAAAGCCCAUUGGUCAUGAUUUUUGAUCAAUAGAAAUGGAGAUUUUCAUUAUUCAUCUCCAUUCAUUUAUAUUUGUGCCCUAAUUGCUCUUUGCUACCAAAAUCCUUCUUCAAUCGUUUUUCUUAUAAAACUUACAUAAUUUAUACUCUAAACACCAAACAGAAGAACAAAAAGAUGUUUUCAAAGGUCA
rnacentral:lncRNA from 1 species